ACAGGCCCAUAUUUUUAAGUUUUCUCUGCUAUUCUGAUAGAGAGAUUCGAAACAGAGCCCCUGAGCCACCAUAACCUUUCAGAUGACACCGGCUCCGAAGCGUAACGCUUGCUGCAAUCAUUCACACCACAUUAAAGCUAUUAUUAACGUGAUUCACACCAAUGAUCCCACUCCUUUGCAUUCAAUCGGUUUUAGUAUCUGUUUUGCACGAACUCCAUCAAUGGCGACCUCCCACCUUCUUCUUGCUGAUUCGAAAGCUGGACGUUGACUGAUAAGGAAAGCAGGGACGACGAGGAUGGCUUCCUCAUUGGGUUGUCUCACCGACUCACUCCCUCAACUUAACACUUCCUUCCUUCAACUCCAAGUCCGAGUUAUAGAUAAGGAUGAGAAUUAAAAGAAGCACACACCAAGACCAAAACGCUAAGGCUAUCUCUCUUUGAAAACGCUAAGUUCUUGCGGCAACAUCUCACCCAUUAGGUAUAUGAAAAUCCAUUUUCGCUUUUGCUUAAAGCAUCGAACUGGAAGCUUGGAUUUUGGGGUUACCCUUCUUAGCUUUCUUAAGGUUCACACGAAAACGUAGAGGAGAGUCGGUGCCGUAAGAACUGCUAGACAGACUGUGCGAGAGCUCGAAUGGCUGUUUGACAAGCAAGGAAGCAGUGAACUAAUGAUUGUUGACAUGCUACUCCUUGACAAGAAGGCAACGCUGAUUCAAGGAUCUGUUAGUGCGAGCCUUGAUCUACAUACAUGUUCGUAACGGUACACACUAAUGUGAAUAAAUCAAGACACUGAUUUGGUUGUUCCGUAUCAUUUCCAGCUCUUGACACAUCAGUUGUUGUUCUCGAGCUUCCUGACAAAACAAACUCUGUUCAAACCCAUCCUCCAAAGAUUGCGACAGCAGAGAAAUCUAAGCAUGUCGCUUCAGCCAACCCGAGCAAGCCAGCUGGUAAUGUGAAGAGUGUCAUAGAAAAUUCAGCUCUAUUAAUAUUCAAGAACCCAGAGAAAUUUGUGGAGAAUUAUUUUGGACAAAACAUCGGCUCUGUUGUUGUCUGUCAAUCACUUCACCGUCCUUCACGGUUACGUUUCAAAGCUCUACCUAUAAAUCUGCGAUGAACAGGAUCACCUCAACAAAAUCGAAUAUACCUUCUCCGUCAAGCACCAUCUCCGUCCAUGGCAACCUCGCACCUUCUGGUGAAAUUCUGGGUGGCACGCAUUGUCAAGAAAGGCAGCGAGCGGGGUGUGGACAUGCUCCUAUGGCGAGAAGAGCUUUCUUUAAAACUUUCUUUUAAGACACACCAGCUGGUAAAGUGCUCAUCAACUACUACUGUAAGAGCCCGAAAGCUUCAUCUCUUGAGUUUACAAAGUACAUCAAACGAGAGGAUAUGAUCUCCAUGAUGUUCAAGCAUAUGUGCAGGUGUGUUUUCUUAGUCAAUGAUAUGAGGUUAUGUACUAGAACACAGCUUAUAGUGAAGUUUUUUUACGCCGGUACGAAGUUCCAGCCGAAGCGACCGUAAGAGGAGGUUCGGUUUGUAUGCAGACCCGGAGAUAACUGGAGAAAAAAAAUUCCAGUUUACUCAUUUUCUACUUUUUUCCUUUGCCCAACCAUUUUAGUUAAGACUGAAAAUGAUUUUAUUUUAUAAGCUCAAACCAUUAUUGUUUCGCCAUACUUCUGUCUAUAUUAUUUGAAUAUUCAACACUCACCUAUCUUGACCAUUUUUGUUCCUCAGAACAGAGGAAUCCAAGACCCUCAAGGUUGAGCCAUUCCCCAAUGCUUAAAAGAUACAGCAUCCAAAUGAAGCUUACUCAAUUCAAUUUCUCUUUGAAACAUUCAAGUUUCACUGUCUCCAGAAUUUAUGACCACCACCAGCGACCACCCAUACCUAAUUUUGACAAUCGUGAAGGUAAUGACUACCCCAGUGAUGACAUGCUUGGUAUUGGAGAUGUGGAGACAAGUCCCUCUCCUGUUGUGAACAGAAAUGUGUCAGUGAACACAAAAGAUUGUACUGCUGACGGUAUGGUUGUAGGUGAAACAACUGAGACAAAUGCACCAAUUGAUCCCUGUUGAUGCCAAAAAUACUGGAGAGGAAGAACAAGCUCGGGAGGAUGCAGACUCCACUAAGAAGACCCCACAUAAAUUGAAAUCUCACCUACGAAGGGAAGGAGUCUGUGUGAAGACUUUUCUUUUUUUUUGUAACACUUUUCAUUCUGAACAUUUUUCAAAUGAGUUUUCUCUAUUUUAAGUUUUAGUUCAUUUCAUGGGAAGUCUACUUAGUCACAUUAAAUAAAAAAAAGCUCAGUUUUCAGGUUUUCUUCA